GUGUCAGCAGCCGCGGUAAUACGUAGGUGGCGAGCGUUGUCCGGAAUUACUGGGUGUAAAGGGAGCGCAGGCGGGGAGCCAAGUUGGAUGUGAAAUACCGCAGCUCAACUGCGGGGCUGCAUCCAAAACUGGUUCUCUUGAGUGAAGUAGAGGUAGGCGGAAUUCCUAGUGUAGCGGUGAAAUGCGUAGAUAUUAGGAGGAACACCAGUGGCGAAGGCGGCCUACUGGGCUUUAACUGACGCUGAGGCUCGAAAGCGUGGGGAGCAAACAGGAUUAGAUACCCUGGUAGUCCACGCUGUAAACGAUGAUUACUAGGUGUGGGGCGGUCUGACCCGUUCCGUGCCGGAGUUAACACAAUAAGUAAUCCACCUGGGGAGUACGGCCGCAAGGUUGAA
rnacentral:rRNA from 1 species